UGUUGUUUACAAAAAGAAGAAAGAAAAAGAAAUUGCACCUUCUCCUGUUAACAUCUAUGAACUUUCUGAGACACUGAAUUGAGAUUGGAAACAAAGCCCACACAGCGCCAUAUGGGAAGCUAUGCACACCUGCAGUUAAACACAUUAAAAGGAAAGAUGUCACAGACUUUGAUCUUGGACCCAGGAUUUUGACGGUUUGUUUGAUUUUGGAUUUUUUUCCUUGUUUUCUAUUUGGUGGGUUUUGUUGGAGUUUAUGGUUCCUAAUUGAGUUUUGUUCCUUGUGACUUUUUAAACUUAGUUAACAAGUGUUGUUCCUUCUGUGUUGUUCAUUAUUACAACCUUAUCUGUGUGCAUUUGUAUAUUGUUAAGUCUGUCCUUUAGUUUUGUAUCCGUGGUUAUCUUUUGGUAUUGUAUGAUUUUCUUUGUCAUCUCUGUUCUUAGUUCAUUUAUGUUCAUUUGUAUUGAGGCUUUUAGUUCUUAUACUCGGGUUUGUCUUGUUAUCUUUCUGGUAAUUCUGAACAUUUGUGGUUAAAUUUUUUUUAGUUCUGGUUGUUUAGCUCUGAUGGGAUGGAUGUUUAGACACCUUAAUGUUCAAAGGCCUCACCUGCCUUUGUAUUGUCUUCAGUUCAACACACUCCUUAAGACAAGAUCAUUGAUCAUUUUAUUUUAUUAUUAACAAAUUGUUUUUGAACGAUCAGUGAUUACAGCAUGUGA